AGUUCUUCAAACCACUCCACGUACAGAGUCUAAGUUGUGCACACAGUAACACCGAAAUAUUUAUUCAAGAACUGAAAAAGAUUCCCACAUGGAAGUGCAUGAGGAGAGUGGAGAAAGGUUUGCAAAGGCUAGAAGAAACCUGCUACAUUUUGAAGAAAUCUCCAUCCAAAGAUGAAAGAUGCUCAGAGAAGGCAAAAACAAAUUUCUCACGAUUCAAAGAGAGUCUGAAAGAAUUCUUGAGAUGGGUGAACGAGAAGCUGGACUGCAGCAGUGACGGGAGAAGUAACUGGAGUUUGUACAUGGACGGCAAAUGCACCUGCCGGGAUCCCUGGAGAUCCUAGCAAGGCUCAGGCUAGGGAAGA